rnacentral:rRNA from 1 species
GAUGAACGCUGGCGGCGUGCUUAACACAUGCAAGUCGAACGGAAAGGCUCCUGCUUGCAGGGGUACUCGAGUGGCGAACGGGUGAGUAACACGUGGGUGAUCUGCCCUGCACUUCGGGAUAAGCCUGGGAAACUGGGUCUAAUACCGGAUAGGACCACAUUUUGGAUGGUGUGGUGGAAAGUUUUUCGGUGUGGGAUGAGCUCGCGGCCUAUCAGCUUGUUGGUGGGGUAAUGGCCUACCAAGGCGUCGACGGGUAGCCGGCCUGAGAGGGUGUACGGCCACAUUGGGACUGAGAUACGGCCCAGACUCCUACGGGAGGCAGCAGUGGGGAAUAUUGCACAAUGGGCGCAAGCCUGAUGCAGCGACGCCGCGUGGGGGAUGACGGCCUUCGGGUUAUAAACUCCUUUCGCUAGGGACGAAGCGCAAGUGACGGUACCUGGAGAAGAAGCACCGGCUAACUACGUG